GUAUGUGAAGGGCUGGAAUGAGCAGCUGCCAGAGGGCCCUGCCUUUACAAGCUCGUGUUUUUUAAUGAAGUCGGUGAAGCCUCCAGUGCUAUGAUAGCACUUUAACCCACUGUUAAUGGUCAGAAUUCCUCAGGUCAGAAACAAAUUAUUUGUAAUCCCUGAGCUUUUUCAGGUUUCAUGCUAAGGUACGUGUGAGCAGGUUUGGUGUCACGGGGCAAAGACAAGGUGUACCAUGAAUCUAUGCUACAUCUCAGAGAGCUCAAAAUGCAAAAGUCACAGUCUGUAGCGAAGCUCUGGAGCUAAAAUACGUGAAAGCAGCUGUCAGAUCCCCUUCCCUCUGUUCUCCCCAUCCUUCUUCAUGAUCCAGAAAAUUGAAGUUUAUCGAAUUAAAGUUUUAGUAUGUGCUUCCUUAGAAAACAAAACAGAGCCACGGUAAUACUCACUGCCUAUAGACAAUCCAUAAUGAAAUGUUUUCGUUUAGGCUCUCUGCCAUCAAUUUAAGAACAGGGAUCCUGUGGGAGCUCAGGGAAACACAAGCCUGACAAAUAUCCUCACUUCUGCUAGUUGGAUUAUUUCCUCCGAGCAGCAACUGAGCUCAUAUUUGGUGCUAUUCCAUUUCUACAGCGAAGGCGAGAGAACGCCACAAGGUGGGAGCGAGGCAGCUGCCCUGAAAACAACGCCGUGGCACACAUGUAGGGGAAAACGACCCUUUGGGAGCUCCAACUCUUCCUUGAUCAAAAGAGGAUCUAACCCAGGAGGACCGGAGGACUCCGAGUAGGGGAAAGCACAGCUCAGUCUGAAAGCAGUCUGUGCUUCUGGCUGCAGCAAGGAGGUGCUCACAAUUCCAGAGUUUGAUAGUAUCAAAGAUCAGUUGUGCUCCAGGAGACCUACACAUAUCGCUGCCUCUUUGAGAGGGCUGACAAGCUGCCUUUGGACAGGUGUCUUUUUAACCUGUCCCACAAACCAGUGCCAAGGUGACAACUGAAGCUCAGCCAGUCACUGACAACUUGCUUUACUGAUAAAUGACCAAGCUCUCAGAUAACAUGGACCAGCUAAGGCCUUUCUCCUCAAUGAGGUCGCCUUCAGUUUCUUGCCACAGACUGCUUUGGGACUGUCAAAACGCCUGAUGAAAAAUGCUAACUAGCUGAUUUGGGAGCACAUGCAAACUGAUAACUGGUCCACAGAGCUGAGCACCCAAACCUGUCAUUCUCACAGAUCUCUGUGUCAAAGAUGGAAAAAUGCAUGCAUGUGGGUAUAGAUGUAGAUUCAGAUGCAGAUGUGGAGGGCAGGGUAAGGGAAACUAAGACAACGAGGCUUAGCUUUUCUGUCCAUGGGCCCAUCUGACCCCUCUAGCCAACUACCAGCCCUCUACCAAAACAGAAUGGCAAUAUAAGCCCUGUUUAUUAGAAACAUGCAGAAAUAAUUGAAGCCACUCUGGCCUUACGUGUUAGCAACAAUAUUUCAACGUAAUAACAUAAUGGUAAAAAUCCUUGAUAGUCUCAAACUGAUGAAGUACUAUUUUGAUCUAAGUUCUCUUAGCAGGAAAGGCUAGAAGUAUCUUUAGAUACCCGAAGAUCUAUAAGAAAGAGGUUUGGGUCACCAGAGGUAGCUUUCCACCUAUAGGUGUGGAUGAUGGUCAGCUCUCACUUAGGAACGUGGUCAAACAUCUGCAUAGUCUGUCCAGAGAACAGCCAGCUAAUUUUAUCUCUGAAAUCCUGCAUAUGAAACACAUUCUGGUGGUUACAUGGCAACGUAAAAUCAACAAGCAGUCCUUUCUGAAACAAAUCCUUACAACUAUUUCUGAAAGAAAAAAAAAAAAAAAAAAAGAACCAUGGAACAGUGCCAUAUUAAAAAACUCCAGCAUUUGCAAACAGCUCUUACAGUCAGUAAUGCUGCAGCAUGUUUUUACAAUAGCUGUCUUAGGACACGCAUGCUAAUAGCAAUCUGUUGGUCUUAGGAAGAUACUAUUAAAUAGUCAUCAUCCUGUCGUCUACAUUAUAGGUUAUGUGGAUUGUAAAACAAGUUAUACGAGAGAUCAUGAAACUAUAGAACCUCAAAGGAACCACUGUGUUUUUUCUGCUGGUGUAUGGAUCCCCUUUCUGCCUGGAUCACAUGAAAGUGUUCUAUUAAUGUGAAUUGGCUUAUGUUUGAGAACACUAUGCUGGAGAGCUAUGAAGUGCAAGGAAUCUGACCCAGGGAUCUGCAGGGCUGUGACACAUCAGUUCUUUACAGGAAUUCUCAGUUGCUGGUUGAGAAUAACACAAGAUAGGUCCCGUACAUGGCGUGCAGUCUGCUGUCAUUGUUGAUGUUAGUAAACCUUUUGCCUAAGGCAGUGAGACGAGCUCCUGAUACGCCAUUGUAACUGGAAUUUCCCCCUCUAGCAGUCACUGCAGGACUAUAAGUAGGCAGUGUCAGGCUGCCUCUCCACCCAGCUAACUCAGUAAGUUGGGAAAACCAUUCCUCACUAACACACACAGCCACUGCAUGGCUGCAAGUGAUAGCUGCCUCAAGAAAAACACUGCAAGUCAGCACUGCUCGCCGUGUUUCCUGAGGAAUGCUUUGCUGGAGUUCAGAACAAACAUUCGAGGUCUGGGAACGCUACGAGAGUGCCUGGCAGAAGAAAAGCCUCCUGCCACCAUUCCAUUCGAAACCCCUUUGCCAGUGUUUAGUCUUCUCUCACCCACACGCUUGGCAAGGAGGGAGAGCAGCCCGUCUCUUCUCCCUGCCGAUAAGAUGGAGCUCUCAGCCCGCUUGUCUGAACGCAGCAGUUGAAGGAAGACGCACAACUGGGUUUUGUUUUGCUCCAGAGGGAGCAAGUCUGACCUAUUUUACACACAGGCGCAACAUCACCUUCGUGAUUCUUUUAGGAAAAUACAUGCCACUGCAGCAUAGGUGACUUAGCUAUAAAAUCCCACACCAGGGGUGGGAGAGAAAAGAAAGGAAAGCCACACCAAUCACCAAAGUGACUUUAAGUAGAACACAUCUUCUGUUCCAUCAUGCCCCUGAAAGAUCCUCCCUUGGAAUACGUUAUUUCAGACAGGAAAAAGGUGUUCCUUUCUUCAGAGAUGAAGUUGCGUGCCUUUAGCCACAUGUAAUAGAAACAUAAUGGGUUCAGUGCAACGGGCGAAGAAAUGACUGAGUUGUUAGUAUAAAGCCAAUCACAGAAGCACUUCGGUCUCACUUCACUGUUUGCACAGUGUUGGCAACGUCUGAAGGGUGAUAACUGCCAGAGACUGCUAUAAGGAAAAGGGGAUUCCUAUGGAUUUUCUGGGAAGAGAGGAAUUACUGCCAUACCAGAAGUUCAGCGUCGAAAUAACUGCACAGUUAUGCACCAUAUUGUGGUCACAACUCCACAGAGCACUAACUGCCUUCUUCUUGUUGUUGUUGUUGCAAAAACACGUUCUGCAUUUGAUUUUAAUUCCUUUGCUUCUCCAUUAGAAACGCAUUGGCCGGACCACCAAGGCAGCAGCAGUCUGGCUAUUCUCCACUCCGAUGCACCACUGACGUCUGUGUAUAUGUGUAUGUGUAUAUGUGCAUGUGUAUAUUUCAUGUUCCUGCUUUCAAAGCUCUGGUCUGUAUUUUUUAUUUCAAAAUAAAUUGCUCUUUGAAUGUAA
ensembl:lncRNA